rnacentral:rRNA from 1 species
GUGGGGAAUUUUGGACAAUGGGCGAAAGCCUGAUCCAGCCAUGCCGCGUGCAGGAUGAAGGCCUUCGGGUUGUAAACUGCUUUUGUACGGAACGAAAAGACUCCUUCUAAUAAAGGGGGUCCAUGACGGUACCGUAAGAAUAAGCACCGGCUAACUACGUGCCAGCAGCCGCGGUAAUACGUAGGGUGCAAGCGUUAAUCGGAAUUACUGGGCGUAAAGCGUGCGCAGGCGGUUAUAUAAGACAGAUGUGAAAUCCCCGGGCUCAACCUGGGAACUGCAUUUGUGACUGUAAAGCUAGAGUACGGUAGAGGGGGAUGGAAUUCCGCGUGUAGCAGUGAAAUGCGUAGAUAUGCGGAGGAACACCGAUGGCGAAGGCAAUCCCCUGGACCUGUACUGACGCUCAUGCACGAAAGCGUGGGGAGCAAACAGGAUUAGAUACCCCUGUAGUCC